rnacentral:piRNA from 1 species
UAUUUUACCAGUGUAUUAAGUGACC